rnacentral:lncRNA from 1 species
GAGUGUCACAGGGGUCUGAUGGGGAUCAGACACAUAAGUGAUUGGCUUUAGGUCAAGUGGGAGAUUGCUAGUCAUAGGUGCCCAGCAAACCAAUCACAUGAGUGAUGGCACGUGUGACUUGAUACAGAAUCUUUUAGCUUAUUAUAUUUUGGCAUAUAUCACUUUAUAACUAUUGCAUAUAUGCAUAUAUAUAUAUAUAUUGUGAUGUCCUUGGAUUUGUGCAAUGGGAAUCGGAUCGUGAUGAG